rnacentral:rRNA from 1 species
CAAGGCUUGACAUACACCGGAAACGGCCAGAGAUGGUCGCCCCCUUGUGGUCGGUGUACAGGUGGUGCAUGGUUGUCGUCAGCUCGUGUCGUGAGAUGUUGGGUUAAGUCCCGCAACGAGCGCAACCCUUGUUCUGUGUUGCCAGCGAGUAAUGUCGGGGACUCACAGGAGACUGCCGGGGUCAACUCGGAGGAAGGUGGGGACGACGUCAAAUCAUCAUGCCCCUUAUGUCUUGGGCUGCACACGUGCUACAAUGGUCGGUACAAAGGGCUGCGAUGCCGCGAGGCGGAGCGAAUCCCAAAAAGCCGGCCUCAGUUCGGAUUGGGGUCUGCAACUCGACCCCAUGAAGUUGGAGUUGCUAGUAAUCGCAGAUCAGCAUGCUGCGGUGAAUA